rnacentral:rRNA from 1 species
AGGGUUCGAUCAUGCUCAGGAUGAACGCUGGCGGCGCGCCUAACACAUGCAAGUCGAACGGCACCCCUCCUCGGAGGGAAGCGAGUGGCGAACGGCUGAGUAACACGUGGAGAACCUGCCCCCUCCUCGGGGAUAGCCGCGGGAAACCGCGGGUAAAACCCGAUGACCCCGACGGGCCGCAUGGCACGCCGGGCAAAUCUCCGGAGGGAGGGGAUGGCUCCGCGGCCCAUCAGGUAGACGGCGGGGUGACGGCCCACCGUGCCGACAACGGGUAGCCGGGUUGAGAGACCGACCGGCCAGAUUGGGACUGAGACACGGCCCAG